UACGGGGGGAGCAAGCGUUGUUCGGAUUUACUGGGCGUAAAGGGCGCGUAGGCGGCGUAACAAGUCACUUGUGAAAUCUCCGGGCUUAACUCGGAACGGUCAGAUGAUACUGCUUUGCUAGAGUGCGGAAGGGGCAAUCGGAAUUCCUGGUGUAGCGGUGAAAUGCGCAGAUAUCAGGAGGAACACCAAUGGCGAAGGCAGCUCGCUGGAACGGUACUGACGCUGAGGCGCGAAAGCGUGGGGAGCGAACAGG
rnacentral:rRNA from 1 species